CCUACGGGAGGCAGCAGUGGGGAAUAUUGCACAAUGGGGGAAACCCUGAUGCAGCGACGCCGCGUGAGCGAUGAAGUCUUUCGGUAUGUAAAGCUCUAUCAGCAGGGAAGAAAAUGACGGUACCUGACUAAGAAUCCCCGGCUAACUACGUGCCAGCAGCCGCGGUAAUACGUAGGGGGCAAGCGUUAUCCGGAUUGACUGGGUGUAAAGGGAGCGUAGACGGGUUUGCAAGCCAGAUGUGAAAGGCUGGGGCUCAACCCCAGGAGUGCAGUUGGAACUGGCAUGCUAGAGUGUAGGAGAGGCAGGCGGAAUUCCGAGUGUAGCGGUGAAAUGCGUAGAUAUUAGGAGGAACACCAGUGGCGAAGGCG
rnacentral:rRNA from 1 species